CUUGUCUCAAGACUAAGCCAUGCAUGUCUAAGUAUAAACGCUUCUAUACUGUGAAACUGCGAAUGGCUCAUUAAAUCAGUUAUAGUUUAUUUGAUGGUUCCUUACUACUUGGAUAACCGUAGUAAUUCUAGAGCUAAUACAUGCAGAAAGUCCCGACUUCUUGGAAGGGAUGUAUUUAUUAGAUCCAAAACCAGCGCGAGUUUCCUUCGGGGGCUCGGUUGCAUGGUGAUUCAUGAUAACUGCUCGAAUCGCAUGGCCUUGCGCCGGCGAUGAUCCAUUCAAAUUUCUGCCCUAUCAACUUUCGAUGGCAAGGUAGUGGCUUGCCAUGGUGACAACGGGUGACGGAGAAUUAGGGUUCGAUUCCGGAGAGGGAGCCUGAGAAACGGCUACCACAUCCAAGGAAGGCAGCAGGCGCGCAAAUUACCCAAUCCCGACUCGGGGAGGUAGUGACAAUAAAUAACAAUGCUGGGCUAUCGUAGUCUGGCAAUUGGAAUGAGUACAAUCUAAACCCCUUAACGAGGAACAAUUGGAGGGCAAGUCUGGUGCCAGCAGCCGCGGUAAUUCCAGCUCCAAUAGCGUAUAUUAAAGUUGUUGCAGUUAAAAAGCUCGUA
rnacentral:rRNA from 1 species